GUCUUCACUGUAGGCUUAAAUGUGAUCCCAGUUCUCUGCACCUGUUCCUUCAGCACAGCUAGUAACUGCAGAAGUCAUAUUCACCCCCAGGUUUUGCUGGAUCAUGGAGACAUAAAGCACCAUCAUCACCCCUAAGUACAUCCGGCGGGAGAGUUGGAGAUAGAAAUCAGAAAAGACAUUAUAAAUCAACUCAUGCUUGUGCUUAAGGUCUCAGAGUAAAGAGAACAAUAUUCAACACUCAAGUGAGAGAAUGCACUAUGGCCUUGACUUCCUUUAAAUACAGCGUCAUGCUUCAUAUUGUUCCCAUAUAAAUACUAAAUUAACAAUCAAGAAAACAAAAUUAAGAUCAUAUUGAAACUAGAGAAGACAUCAAAGGCACAAAGGAUGCUGGAUUUAGAAGGAGACUGGAGGAAGGAAAUUUUGAUGGUUGGAAUAGCAGAGACAGUGAGGACUUUGGCUCAAACGGCGUAAGGAGUGGGGCAGAGCAAACUGUAUUUAAGAGAAAUUUGUGCAAAAAGGCAGGGGGAGAAUCUAGCUGCAUCGUUGGCAGCCCGCAGAACCAGCUGCACUCUGCCUGUCCUCUGCGGUUUCUAGACUCAGUAUAUCCAGUCUGAACUAGCGAUGGUUUUCCUUGACUGCUCUUUCUGGGGAGCACACCACCAGCUCUGAUCUCAAGGCAUGGAAGUUUCCUCUCUCCUUCAUUCUCUGUAAUCAAAUGUGCCGCUCUGCCACGUGGACUUCCUCGGAUGACCUCUGGUUUUCUGCUGACGCUCCUGCCUGAAGGGUCCACUCCACCCCAGCUUGUCUCUAAAAGACUGCAGCAGCCAUUGGCCCGCCUCGGUUUCCUCCACUGCUUGUUCACACAUCCUACCCCUGAAGGAAGAAUGAAUCUUCCCAAAGAACAGGCUUUUUCUUCAUGUCGUGUUGCCCUGUUGCAUAAGACCUCUGCUUAAAAAAAAUAGUGUUUGGAGGAUAUGUUGAAAAAAUUCCAUUUGGAAUAGGGGAGAAAUUAUUUCAACCUCCAUUUUUUGGUGUUUCGGAGAUGAUGAUAUAAUUUGUUCUGGGGCCAUCAGUGGUCCUUGGUCGGUUCCCCCAGGACUUCAGUAGGAGCUACCAGAAAAGAGGCUAUGUGUUCCCAUUGGAUAUGAAUCUGGAAAAUACAGUCCUGAGGAUUCAACUCUGGUCGUCAGCCUUGGAGCAAGCACCUUUGUAACUGAGCCAUCUUGACAACUCAACCUUGGGAACUUACUGAAGAAACCAGAUUCAUUUAUUUGCACAUUCUGAUUGACCUAUUACGUUAAGGCUAAAGUAGAGUGUAAAGAGAACGCCUUUGGCAUCAAAAUGAAGCUCAAUUCCUUGACCACAGCUGGGUCAUUAGUCCUCAAUCUUAGGUAAGUUAAUGUCUUUGAGUCUUCAUUUCCCCGUCUGAUAAAUCGGAGACCCCCAGUCCUCGCUCACAGACGGGCAGUGAGAACAGCUUAGAGACAAGGCUGACACGGGCCAGCGCAUGCCAGGUGCUUCAUUUCAGGCCUUCCGUGAAGGGAGCCAGCACCUCCCGGCCGCCCGCUCACUGGACAAGAGCUCCCGAGAGGGUCCACAUUAUGAGCCAAGCAGAGGCCUCCAAUCCAGAAGGUAGCUUCUUGAGGUCUUGUCCCUUUGUUCCCUCACACAGUAACAAACAUUUUGAACCCUCCAGGCUGUAGCAGAGCGGGGAAGGGUUGAGAGCACGCAGGCUGAGCCCGUGGGCAGCGGAGUGGACUCUCCGGGAUGAAACUCUGUAACUGACUGCAGAUACCGACUGUGGUUCUGUCAACAUCAGAGCUCUUUCCCGUGGCCCCACACAUUCUGACCACAGCUCCGGUGGUGUGGCAUGAGAGGCAGAGUGAUGGCCUCCCAACCAUGGGAACUGACAUCGCCCUGGAAUGCUCACGAAAAUCCUUACAACUAGAAGGAAGGUUGAUGCAAUAGCUAGCUCGAAACCUGGAGGCUGAGCCAUCUGGAGGUUGGGUCCACUUAAAUAGACUCACAUUAUUUAGAGGGCAGAUAAAGACCUUCAUUAAGCAGUCAGAAAAAUCAAACAUUAAAUAAGGCAUUAUGCUGAUGGUUGUUGCAGAAGCAUCUAGAACUUGAGAUGAGUCUUGCUCCCUGCCUGUCUUGGCAUGCGUGGUUACAAUGGGCCUAGGUACAGUAGUGAAUGAGAGAAGAACCUUUGUGCUGACCUCAAAUCAAUGUAAGGUUGAGGACAAGAAACCAGGGGAGUGAGUUAGGCCUCGGCAAAGCUAAUGGAGAAAGAAGUCCUAUACAGUGGCGGUUCGCACUGGUUGUGUUGGUUAAUGCACUGGGAUCACAGGUUUCUGACUCAGAUCCGGGAAGAUAAGAAGCUUGUGGUCAGUUAUUACAGCAGCAACGAGGAUUUGCUACAGCUUACAGCAUGGAAGUCUUUCCAGCCUGCCUUUAAGGACUGCGCAAUAAUUCACUCAGUGCUUCCGGUACUCAUCACCUUUGAUUCCCCAGGAAUACAACCAUGACUUCCAUGCCUCAAACCAAUUUCACUCUUUCUGUGCUUUGGUUAAUGGGGAGACAUGGAAUAAAGGUUGUGGGAUGGAUAGUUUUUCCAGCCUUUGUGUUGAAAAAGAACUGACCAUUGUUUGCAGUUCCACGGUGGCUACACUUGAAGCCUCCCUGUUCACACUGCAGGCCUCCCUGUUCACACUGCAGGCCUCCCUGUUCACACUGCAGGCCUCCCUGGCCAGAAAGGCUCACCCAAAGUCUGAUGCAUCUGAUUGUCCAUCUGACUGUCCUGUGCCCCUUCCCAGGGUUUCAAAUAAUUUUCUUCUUCCUUGGGCUCUGCUUGUCUUUAUUCUCCAAAGUUCUUCAUUAGAAAUAUUGAUUAGCCUCAGUGUCUAUUGCCAUGACAAAACACCAUGACCAAGGCAACUUAUAGAAAAGAACACUGAAUUUGGGUCUCAUGGUUGCAGAGUUAGAGUCCAUGAGCAUCAUGAUGCCAGGCGUGUGGGAGCAUCAUUGACAGACAUGGGGCUGGAGCUGUGACUGAGUGCUUACUUCUGGAUCCACAAACAGGAAAGCAGAGCGCUUCUAAACGUUCCGUCAACUCCCCCAAUAGAUAAUAGUAUUUUUUUUCUUUUUAUUACUAUCUUCCAUAUCCAUGCUCAUUGAGCUCUUUCCCAGCUUUCUG